CACGUAGGGUGCGAGCGGUGUCCGGAAUUAUUGGGCGUAAAGAGCUCGUAGGCGGUGUGUCGCGUCGGCCGUGAAAACCUGCAGCUUAACUGUGGGCUUGCGGUCGAUACGGGCAUCACUGGAGUUCGGCAGGGGAGACUGGAAUUCCUGGUGUAGCGGUGAAAUGCGCAGAUAUCAGGAGGAACACCGGUGGCGAAGGCGGGUCUCUGGGCAGUAACUGACGCUGAGAAGCGAAAGCGUGGGUAGCGAACAGG
rnacentral:rRNA from 1 species